rnacentral:rRNA from 1 species
AUUGAACGCUGGCGGCAGGCCUAACACAUGCAAGUCGAGCGGAUGAAGGGAGCUUGCUCCUGGAUUCAGCGGCGGACGGGUGAGUAACGCCUAGGAAUCUGCCUGGUAGUGGGGGAUAACGUCCGGAAACGGGCGCUAAUACCGCAUACGUCCUGAGGGAGAAAGUGGGGGAUCUUCGGACCUCACGCUAUCAGAUGAGCCUAGGUCGGAUUAGCUAGUUGGUGGGGUAAAGGCCUACCAAGGCGACGAUCCGUAACUGGUCUGAGAGGAUGAUCAGUCACACUGGAACUGAGACACGGUCCAGACUCCUACGGGAGGCAGCAGUGGGGAAUAUUGGACAAUGGGCGAAAGCCUGAUCCAGCCAUGCCGCGUGUGUGAAGAGGGUCUUCGGAUUGUAAAGCACUUUAAGUUGGGAGGAAGGGCAGUAAGUUAAUACCUUGCUGUUUUGACGUUACCAACAGAAUAAGCACCGGCUAACUUCGUG